UUUGAUCCUGGCUCAGAGUGAACGCUGGCGGCGUGGAUUAGGCAUGCAAGUCGAGCGAUCCCGCAAGGGAUAGCGGCAAACGGGUGAGUAACACGUAGGUAAUCUGCCUUGAAGUCGGGCAUAGCAUCGUGAAAGCGGUGGUAAUUUCCGAUAUGGCGUAGAUAUCUCUGGAUGUUUAUGUUAAAGAUGGGGAUCUUAGGACCUGUCGCUUCAAGAUGAGCCUGCGUCCUAUCAGCUUGUUGGUGGGGUAAUGGCCUACCAAGGCUUAUGACGGGUAGCUGGUCUGAGAGGAUGGUCAGCCACACUGGGACUGAGACACUGCCCAGACUCCUACGGGAGGCUGCAGUCGAGAAUCUUUAGCAAUGGGCGAAAGCCUGACUAUGCGACGCCGCGUGCAGGACGAAGGCCUUCGGGUUGUAAACUGCUUUUAUCAGGAAAGAAACCUGUAAAGAUAAUACCUUUGCAGUUGACGGUACCUGAAGAAUAAGCCACGGCCAACUCCGUGCCAGCAGCCGCGGUAAUACGGGGGUGGCGAGCGUUACUCGGAAUUAUUGGGUGUAAAGGGUAAGUAGGUGGUCUGUUAAGUGAGGGGUGAAAUCUUCCGACUCAAUCGGGAAACUGCCUUUCAAACUAAUAGACUUGAGACCAGAAGAGGGAAACGGAAUUAGCAGUGUAAGGGUGAAAUCUGCAGAUAUUGCUAAGAACACCAAUGGCGAAGGCAGUUUCCUGGUCUGGUACUGACGCUAAACUA
rnacentral:rRNA from 1 species